AAAAAAAUGGGGUGCGCCCCUCGCGCACCGGAGCCUCCGUGCGCACCCUACCGCGAUGCCGUCGAUCUCCAAUCCAACGGUGAGCGCGCUGAACGGCUGGGCCUUCACACAGACGCGGCUCGGCUCCCUCGGAUCGGCUCCCGCCCCCGAGCAAUUGAGCGAUCAUGGACUCCGCCAUGGACCAGGCUCGGCUCCCGCGUCAAUUGAGCGAUCGUGGGACGGAAGUUCCUCAUGGACUCAUCUCGUACGGAAGGUGGAACCGGAGCCCUAGCUGUCGCGCAGGCUGCCGUAGUGCAGGCGCGCCCAGAAGCGGACGACGGGAGGAGGAGGAAGCAAGGCUGCGGCAGCCGUCAGCAACGUACAGCAGCCAUCCAGCGAAGGUUGACGCCGCCGCGGUCGGGGCGGAAAGGUGUAGCCACGAAGCCCUACCGCCCGGUGAUCGUGUGGCAGCACAGCAGCUUCAUUUGCGAUCAAGGUAGAACUUUGCUUGUGGGAUCGUCCACUUGUCCAUUGCGGCGAGAAGAAGCAUUGGAUUUGAUGGCUCAAAACUUGCAUCUGGCUUGUCUUCCUCCGAUGACUUCUGGGAAGUUACACCUUCAGGUACUCAAUUGCGUCUCCAAGAAUCGAAGCCCUGUCCAUCAACCAGUUGCAAACAGAGACAGUCAGUUAAUUGGCCAUCCACAAGGAGAAAGUAUCAUUAGUGGAUUGGAUGAUUAUAAUAAUGAGAUAUAUGUACGGAAUACUCACAAGACUAAAGCUGUUUAACACAACAAAUAUAACCGAAACAAGUCAUGCAAAAGUACUAUUAAGCCAUAACUGAUGCUUUCUGUUUUGUAUGAUUGGAAAUUAAGGUAUUCUCCUUUUCAGAACAAAACUGUAACAGCAGAGAUGUAGGGAAGAUCUUUUAUUGUUUUUGUUGCAACCUGUAACUACUUGACUGAGUCGAAACGGAGAAAGGUAUAUAAAAGACGCAUCUAACAAUGUUAGAUGCUAACAACUGAA